UCUUUCUCUCAGUUUUUCUUCUCUUCUUGUCUUCUUCUCUUCUUCAGUCAGUUCACAAACCAUAACACCGUGAAAAGACUCUAAUCAACACCAACAAGUCAAUACCGUAAGUUUUACUCAGGAAACUGUCUGGAACUUUAAGCUCGCCUAAGAGGAAAUCAGGAGAAACUAUCUUGUUAGAGAGGUUACCAUGGUUGAAAUCUUAGAAAUGUUGUGUUUCAUAUUUUUGAUCCUUUUCGAAGUUCCUUAAUGCCUAGGACACUUGAGGCCUUAAUUUUGUUGCAAAAGUGGUUAUGUACACCAAUGGACAAGGAUUCUUCUAUCCUUGGAGUCGGGGAGGAUGAGAUUGAUAUUGCUGAGUUUGAUCUAUUUAUUGACCUUGCUACUUCUUCCAUCAUCAUAGAUGAUUGAAUCCUAUUGGGUUAGACAAGGCUUUCAGCGAAUUCAGGGGUAAAACGUCUACAUUUUUCGAUGGAGGAAGCUGGUCGCUUCAUAUGAAUCAUAUGAUCUUUCUUCUUCAGCUACUAGUAUAGUUACUAUAGUAGGAUUUAGUACAGUAGGCUCGUAAUUCAUCUUUUGAGCUUUUAGAAGUUGAACUCAUUUUUAUUUUGUAAACACUUCUAGUUUUAAAUAACCUACGAUGCUAAUUUUAUGCACUUUUAGUUAUUUGUCAUGUUCGUUGCAUUUUAUGACGGGUUAACCCGCCACCCACCCGCUGUAAUGUGGGUCGGGUUAAAACCGAUCCACUAUGAUGUUGGGUUGGUUGUGGGUGACAACUUCUGUUACCCUCCAUCAGUGGGUUGGUUGAGGCCAAAACCGACCCAAACCGACCCAUGUGCAGCCCCAGCUCAUACAAUCAAACCGAUAGUAUUGU